GGCUCUGAAGUGUUAUCAUGUCAGAUUGCAAAUCUGAAGAAGCUGGUUAACGCCAGCCGGGGCUU
rnacentral:tRNA from 1 species